rnacentral:rRNA from 1 species
UUUGGUAGUAAUUAACUUGGAAUGGAGGAUUAUUUAUUAUUAGAAAAUAAUGUGAAGGAAGAAUCUUUGUUUGCGUGUUGUAUAUAGGAAGAAUGUUUUAAAGUUUUGAGAGUACUGAAAAGAAAAAAAAUUAAGAGAAGUGUAGUAGGUUUAUUUAAUUGUACCUUUUGUAUCAGGGUUAAGUAAGAUAGAAGGAGGGAGACUUUUUGUCCCGAAGCUGGAGGGGCUACUUUUAGGCUAGAAUGGAGGCUUAAGGGGUCAGCAUUACAUAGCUGUCUCGAGACUUAAAGGUAGUAAUGAUAUGUUAACCGGAUCUGGCGAUAGCUGGUUUAUUUGGAAAUAAUUAAUAGAUUAGGGCUACUUGCAUAAAUUUUGGGGAUAUAAAAUGUGGUGUAGAUUUAAAAUUAAGGGUAGUACUUACGAGUCUAAGUUAAGUUUGGGCUUGUAGAAAGGACAUAUGGAAAAACAAGGUUUGAAGAGGAUAUAAGCUUUAGAAGAGAGAGUUAAUGGAAGAGUUGAGUUAUACUUCACUUUUUAAGGUUAAAAUAGUUUUUGAUUUUUUGUAGAAAGGUCUUAUAUUUUACGAGUAAGUGGUUAUUAACUUUUUAGCUAUUGAAACUGCUUAAAUUAGUAAAAAAGUAUUUUUUAUCAGUUAAAUUGUUGGAUUAUUUAUACUGGGUUAGAGUUAGUAUAAAAUUGUUUGAGUAUUAAAGUUAACUUAAGGAAUUCGGCAAAAAAUUAUCACUCCGACUGUUUAUCAAAAACAUAGCUUUUGGUUAAGAAGUAAGAUUAAAAGUGAUACCUGCCCGGUGGGGGAUUUAACGGUGGCCUUAGCGUGAGGGUCCUAAGGUAGCAUGUAAUAUACUGGUUAAUUACCGGAUAGGAUGAAUGGAAUAACGAGAGUGUGGCUGUCUCUGGUUAACUAAGUUGAAUUUAAUUUUUAAGUGAAAAAGCUUAGAUAUAGUAAAAAGACGAUAAGACCCCAUGAAACUUUAAUUGGGUUCGAGUUAGUGUGGCAUACAUUGAUUAGGUGUAAGAGUUAAAUUAGCAAGAAACGAUUUCAGCUGGGAGAGCUUAGGGGUAAAGGAAGCCCCCUAUUAAGAAGUUGGCAGAUGUGCGUUGAACCAGGUGUAUAGAGUUGGAUGGAGAAAUAAGUUACUCUGGGGAUAACAGCGUAAUUUUUCCGGAGAGCACGUAUUUAUGGAGGAGUUUACGACCUCGAUGUUGAAUGUGGUUAUCCUUGAGUUUGAAGCAGGCUUAGAGGGUUGGACUGUUCGUCCAUUAAAAACCAACCUGAUUUGAGUUAAGAACGGUGUGAGCUAGUUCGGUUUCUAUCUUUUAUUAUUAUGGAGAUUAUCUCGGCUUGUACGUUAGGACAGUUUUAGAGGAUUGACAAGGGCGGUCAGUAGGAGUAUUAGGCUUGAAAUAAAGAUGUUUUAAUUAUUAUUGU